rnacentral:rRNA from 1 species
UACAGAGGGUGCGAGCGUUGUCCGGAAUCACUGGGCGUAAAGGGCGCGUAGGCGGCGUGGUAAGUCACUUGUGAAAUCUCUGAGCUUAACUCAGAACGGCCAAGUGAUACUGCUGUGCUAGAGUGCAGAAGGGGCAAUCGGAAUUCUUGGUGUAGCGGUGAAAUGCGUAGAUAUCAAGAGGAACACCUGAGGUGAAGACGGGUUGCUGGGCUGACACUGACGCUGAGGCGCGAAAGCUAGGGGAGCAAACGGG